GACGAACGCUGGCGGCGUGCUUAACACAUGCAAGUCGAACGGAAAGGCCCUGCUUUUGUGGGGUGCUCGAGUGGCGAACGGGUGAGUAACACGUGAGUAACCUGCCCUUGACUUUGGGAUAACUUCAGGAAACUGGGGCUAAUACCGGAUAGGCGCUCCUGCUGCAUGGUGGGGGUUGGAAAGUUUCGGCGGUUGGGGAUGGACUCGCGGCUUAUCAGCUUGUUGGUGGGGUAGUGGCUUACCAAGGCUUUGACGGGUAGCCGGCCUGAGAGGGUGACCGGCCACAUUGGGACUGAGAUACGGCGCAGACGCCUACGGGAGGCAGCAGUGGGGAAUAUUGCACAAUGGGCGGAAGCCUGAUGCAGCGACGCCGCGUGCGGGAUGACGGCCUGCGGGUUGUAAACCGCUUUCGCCUGUGACGAAGCGUGAGUGACGGUAAUGGGUAAAGAAGCACCGGCUAACUACGUG
rnacentral:rRNA from 1 species